rnacentral:rRNA from 1 species
AUACGUAGGGUGCGAGCGUUGUCCGGAAUUACUGGGCGUAGAGAGCUCAUAGGUGGUUUGUCGCGUCGUCUGUGAAAUUCCGGGGCUUAACUCCGGGCGUGCAGGCGAUACGGGCAUAACUUGAGUACUGUAGGGGAGACUGGAAUUCCUGGUGUAGCGGUGAAAUGCGCAGAUAUCAGGAGGAACACCGGUGGCGAAGGCGGGUCUCUGGGCAGUAACUGACGCUGAGGAGCGAAAGCAUGGGUAGCGAACAGGAUUAGAUACCCUGGUAGUCCAUGCCGUAAACGGUGGGCGCUAGGUGUAGGGGUCUUCCACGACUUCUGUGCCGUAGCUAACGCAUUAAGCGCCCCGCCUGGGGAGUACGGCCGCAAGGCUAAAACUCAAAGGAAUUGACGGGG